GGCGGGUUACCAAAGCGGCCAAAUGGACCUGACUGUAAAUCAGAUGGCUUUCGCCUUCGGGGGUUCGAAUCCCUCACCCGCCA
rfam:Actinomyces neuii BVS029A5 genomic scaffold supercont1.4, whole genome shotgun sequence.